GAUGAACGCUGGCGGCGUGCCUAAUACAUGCAAGUCGAGCGAACGGACGAGAAGCUUGCUUCUCUGAUGUUAGCGGCGGACGGGUGAGUAACACGUGGAUAACCUACCUAUAAGACUGGGAUAACUUCGGGAAACCGGAGCUAAUACCGGAUAAUAUUUUGAACCGCAUGGUUCAAAAGUGAAAGACGGUCUUGCUGUCACUUAUAGAUGGAUCCGCGCUGCAUUAGCUAGUUGGUAAGGUAACGGCUUACCAAGGCAACGAUGCAUAGCCGACCUGAGAGGGUGAUCGGCCACACUGGAACUGAGACACGGUCCAGACUCCUACGGGAGGCAGCAGUAGGGAAUCUUCCGGAAUGGGCGAAAGCCUGACGGAGCAACGCCGCGUGAGUGAUGAAGGUCUUCGGAUCGUAAAACUCUGUUAUUAGGGAAGAACAUAUGUGUAAGUAACUGUGCACAGCUUGACGGUACCUAAUCAGAAAGCCACGGCUAACUACGUG
rnacentral:rRNA from 1 species